UGUUGUUGGCGGAUGCGUCGCUCUUGCUCGAGCCGAGCAAGACGUGCCGCUUCUUGAGCCUCUUCCAGCCUAGCAUAGUAUUAGGCUUUGGUCUCUAGCACCACUGGAUUAUGCCCACCUCCCCUAAAGGCAUAGUGUCGAUCCAUUCCAAAAUGUGCAAGUCUGCAUGUUGAUUCAUGAUUAGUUCUAGGUACCGGUACGUAGAAAACAUAUUUAAAAUGUUUAUGAACAGAUGGACCUUGAAAUCAU
rnacentral:lncRNA from 1 species